UACGUAGGGGGCUAGCGUUGUCCGGAAUCAUUGGGCGUAAAGCGCGCGUAGGCGGCCAGAUAAGUCCGGUGUGAAAGCCACAGGCUCAACCUGUGAAUGCCGCUGGAAACUGUCUGGCUAGAGUCCGGGAGGGGCGAGUGGAAUUCCUGGUGUAGCGGUGAAAUGCGCAGAUAUCAGGAGGAACACCAGUGGCGAAGGCGGCUCACUGGCCCGGUACUGACGCUGAGGUGCGAAAGCGUGGGGAGCAAACAGG
rnacentral:rRNA from 1 species